rnacentral:rRNA from 1 species
UACGGAGGAUCCGAGCGUUAUCCGGAUUUAUUGGGUUUAAAGGGUGCGCAGGCGGAAUAUUAAGUCGGCGGUGAAAGUUUGCAGCUUAACUGUAAAAUUGCCGUUGAUACUGGUAUUCUUGAGUGUAUAUGAAGUAGGCGGAAUUUGUAGUGUAGCGGUGAAAUGCAUAGAUAUUACAAGGAACUCCGAUUGCGAAGGCAGCUUACUAAAUUACGACUGACGCUUAGGCACGAAGGCGUGGGUAUCAAACAGGAUUAGAUACCCCGGUAGUCCCUGAG